GUUCCUUUAUGAUGUAGAAAAAGAUAAUGGAGCAAGAUUCAGUACAAGAAAAAAAGGUGAAGGAAGUAUAUCAUUCUGACACCUGAAAAGUCCAGGAUCUCUCUAGAAAAUGAUGGAGCUUCUCUCAUCACCAAUUUUCUAUAGCCAAAGAAGCCCCAGCUACCUACUGUGUGGGAGGAGAGGCUCUAAACCAUAAACAGGCCAAUAAUACGUCACACCAUCUGAUUGCAAUGAAUGCGAAAGUAAAAGAUGGUUGGAACGGUGCCGGCGAAAGGUUGUUUCAGCUGGAGCAGAGGAGAGAAGGUUGUCCAAGAAGCUGUAGAGACACUGCACGUGACGACUGAUAAGCUUGUGAUGGCUCCAGCACAUACCAGAGGGAAAAGCAGUGAGAGAGGUGUUUGUUGCAUGAUAGGCAUCUCCCCAGAUCUACAAAAGUUAUAAGAUACCAAAUUAGCUCAUACUGAAAAAUGCUUGUUCACUAAUGGCAGUAACAACUGUGUCACAUGUUCACUACAAAGAUGCCCGAGGACACUCACCUGUAUUGCAUUAAAAAGGAAGAGACCAGAAAUGUAUUAGUGCUGGAUAGAUAAAAUAUUUAAAUGGCUAUAGCUAGAUGGACUAUAGAGAUAGUAAUCUGAUAUGUAUGCAUGCACUGAACCUUUUUAUACUAGAGUUGCAGCAUAAAUGACCCCAUUAAAUCCUGUUAUUCUCCUAAUCCAAUAAGCGCUUAAUCUCAUUGCAAGUGUUGGAAAUAAUUAUUCAUUUAUACACUUGUUUUUGCCACACAUUUUAUGUCAACAAGGAGUGUGCCUUUGACUAAUCAGUUAAAACA
rnacentral:lncRNA from 1 species